GGGCCCGCACAAGCGGUGGAGUAUGUGGUUUAAUUCGAUGCAACGCGAAGAACCUUACCAGGGUUUGACAUCCUGCGAAUCUCUUGGAAACAGGAGAGUGCCUUCGGGAACGCAGUGACAGGUGGUGCAUGGCUGUCGUCAGCUCGUGUCGUGAGAUGUUGGGUUAAGUCCCGCAACGAGCGCAACCCACGUCUUUAGUUGCCAGCAUUUAGUUGGGCACUCUAGAGAGACUGCCGGUGAUAAACCGGAGGAAGGUGUGGAUGACGUCAAGUCAUCAUGCCCCUUAUGUGUUGGGCUACACACGUGCUACAAUGGUACUUACAAUGGGAUGCAAAGAGGCAACUCCUAGCUAAUCCCUAAAAUGUACCUCAGUUCGGAUUGUACUCUGUAACUCGAGUGCAUGAAGCUGGAAUCGCUAGUAAUCG
rnacentral:rRNA from 1 species